rnacentral:rRNA from 1 species
UACGUAGGGUGCAGGCGUUAAUCGGAAUUACUGGGCGUAAAGCGUGCGCAGGCGGUUUGCUAAGACAGGUGUGAAAUCCCCGGGCUUAACCUGGGAACUGCGCUUGUAACUGGCAAGCUUGAGUGUGGCAGAGGGGGGUGGAAUUCCACGUGUAGCAGUGAAAUGCGUAGAGAUGUGGAGGAACACCGAUGGCGAAGGCAGCCCCCUGGGCCAACACUGACGCUCAGGCACGAAAGCGUGGGGAGCAAACAGG